rnacentral:ncRNA from 1 species
AAAAACAAGAGUUUGAUCCUGGCUCGGAACGAAUGUUGGUUAUAUGCUUAGCAAAUACAAGUUGAAUGUGGCUUGCUUCCCCAUCCAUCCAUGUGGGGGCAGAAGGGCAAGAGGAAUGAUCCCCUCCUAGAACGUUCUCACUCACUCAAAUGAUAUGAAAGUGGUGCAUUAAGCAUGGGGCACAACAAGCAAAGUGGAAAAUGGGUGUGUAACGCAUGGGAAUCUGUUGAACAAUUCACUCCAAAUCCUUAAUAAUUCAUAAAGCAAGCUAAUUUGUGUUGUUUGACGAGCCUGCGUAGUAUCAGGUAGUUUUUUAGGUAAAGGAUAACCAAUCCAAUGAUGCUUAGUUGGUCAUUUCAGAUGAUCAGCCACACUGGGACUGAGACA